rnacentral:rRNA from 1 species
UACAUAGGGGGCGAGCGUUAUCCGGAAUUAUUGGGCGUAAAGCGUACGUAGGCGGACUGUUAAGUCUGGUGUGAAAUCCCGCGGCUUAACCGCGGAGGGUCACUGGAAACUGGCAGGCUUGAGUACGGCAGGGGUAAGUGGAAUUCCAAGUGGAGCGGUGAAAUGCGUAGAUAUUUGGAGGAACACCAGUGGCGAAGGCGGCUUACUGGGCCGGAACUGACGCUGAGGUACGAAAGCGUGGGGAGCAAACAGGAUUAGAUACCCUGGUAGUCCACGCCGUAAACGAUGAGCACUAAGUGUCGGAUACAUAUUCGGCGCUGCAGUUAACACAUUAAGUGCUCCGCCUGGGGAGUACGGUCGCAAGACUGAAACUCAAAGGAAUUGACGGGGACUCGCACAAGCGGUGGAGCAUGCGGUUUAAUUCGAUGCAACGCGAAGAACCUUACCAGGUCUUGACAUCCCGGCGACCGGACUAGAAAUAGUCCUUUCCUUCGGGACGACGGAGACAGGUGGUGCAUGGUU